rnacentral:rRNA from 1 species
GCUGGCGGCGUGCUUAACACAUGCAAGUCGAACGCGAAAGUUUUCUUCGGAAGACGAGUAGAGUGGCGCACGGGUGAGUAACGCGUAAGUUAUCUACCCUGGCAUCUGGAAUAACUCACCGAAAGGUGUGCUAAUACCGGAUACGUUGGAUUUAUCCAAGAAAGGUGGCCUCUUCAUGAAAGCUACUGUGCUGGGAGGAGCUUGCGUACCAUUAGCUAGUUGGUAGGGUAACGGCCUACCAAGGCGACGAUGGUUAGCGGGUCUGAGAGGAUGAUCCGCCACACUGGAACUGGAACACGGACCAGACUCCUACGGGAGGCAGCAGUGAGGAAUAUUGCGCAAUGGGGGCAACCCUGACGCAGCGACGCCGCGUGGAUGAUGAAGGCCUUCGGGUCGUAAAAUCCUGUCAGAUGGAAAGAAGUGU